rnacentral:rRNA from 1 species
AGAGUUUGAUCCUGGCUCAGGAUGAACGCUGGCGGCGUGCUUAACACAUGCAAGUCGAACGGACUUAGGAUGAAACCUAGUGAUUUCUAAGUUAGUGGCGGACGGGUGAGUAACGCGUGGGCAACCUGCCUCAUACAGGGGGAUAACACUUAGAAAUAGGUGCUAAUACCGCAUAAGCGCACAGCUUCGCAUGGAGCAGUGUGAAAAACUCCGGUGGUAUGAGAUGGACCCGCGUCUGAUUAGCUAGUUGGUGGGGUAACGGCCUACCAAGGCGACGAUCAGUAGCCGGCCUGAGAGGGUGACCGGCCACAUUGGGACUGAGACACGGCCCAAACUCCUACGGGAGGCAGCAGUGGGGAAUAUUGCACAAUGGGGGAAACCCUGAUGCAGCAACGCCGCGUGAGUGAAGAAGUAUUUCGGUAUGUAAAGCUCUAUCAGCAGGGAAGAACAAAGACGGUACCUGACUAAGAAGCACCGGCUAAAUACGUGCCAGCAGCCGCGGUAAUACGUAUGGUGCAAGCGUUGUCCGGAAUCAUUGGGCGUAAAGCGUUCGUAGGCGGCAUACCAAGUCUGGUGUUAAAUCCCGGGGCUCAACUCCGGUCGGGCACUGGAUACUGGUAAGCUAGAAUGUGGUAGAGGUAAAGGGAAUUCCUGGUGUAGCGGUGAAAUGCGUAGAUAUCAGGAGGAACACCGGUGGCGUAAGCGCUUUACUGGGCCAUAAUUGACGCUGAGGAACGAAAGCCGGGGGAGCAAAUGGGAUUAGAUACCCCAGUAGUCCCGGCCGUAAACGAUGGAUACUAGGUGUUGCGGGUAUCGACCCCUGCAGUGCCGCAGCCAACGCGAUAAGUAUCCCGCCUGGGGAGUACGCACGCAAGUGUGAAACUCAAAGGAAUUGACGGGGACCCGCACAAGCGGUGGAACAUGUGGUUUAAUUCGAAGCAACGCGAAAAACCUUACCAGGGCUUGACAUCUGAGGAACCUCUAUGAAAGUAGAGGGUGCUUUUCGGAGAGCCUCAAGACAGGUGGUGCACGGCUGUCGUCAGCUCGUGUCGUGAGAUGUUGGGUUAAGUCCCGCAACGAGCGCAACCCUCGUUAUUAGUUGCUUGCAUUGGCUUGCUGAUGCAGAGCUCUCUAAUAAGACUGCCGAUGAUAAAUCGGAGGAAGGUGGGGACGACGUCAAGUCAUCAUGCCCCUUAUGCUCUGGGCUACACACGUGUUACAAUGGCUAGGACAAUGAGCAGCCAACUCGCGAGAGUGAGCAAAUCUCUUAAACCUAGUCUCAGUUCGGAUCGUAGUCUGCAACUCGACUACGUGAAGUCGGAAUCGCUAGUAAUCCCGAAUCAGAAUGUCGGGGUGAAUACGUUCCCGGGUGUUGCACACACCGCCCGUCA